CCUGCAGGGCGCGGGGAGCCGGGGAGGCCGGCGGAGGGGUUCGCAGUGCAGAGGUUUCGACUCUUCCGGUUUCCAGCCGGACUCGAGGCAGAGUUCUCAGAAUUCCCCCCCGAGGGGCAGAAAGUUCGAGAGCUGCAGGCUGGGCGCCAGAGGGGGGACGGCAAAGCUGCACCCCUUUCCCCGGGACGGGGCCUGAGCGCAGGGCGGAAUGUCUGGUGAAAGGCGAUUCCCGGGAGCGAGGGAAGGGGCUUCAGGUUUCCUUGUUGGAGGAGCGGAAAGGGGCUGGGGAAAGGGGUGCGAUGAGCAGCCUCCUCGGAGAAAUGGACAGUUUAACCCACGCCCUGGCCCUGGAAAGCCCUCCGACUCGGACUUGUAACUUGGGAAGAAACCUUAAGAGGACCUGGCCCGACCACCUCCUGCUGCAGAGAAGGAGAAGAAGGCUCCGAGGGUGGACACUGCGGCCCAUCGGGGCCGGAUCUCAGCUCGCGGGCCGCCACCAGGCUCCUUAACCUCCAGCAGGUUCUCGGCCAGGAGGAGAGACCAAGAAACGGAGGUUCGGGUGUUUUAAACUGCCCAAAGUUACUCUCCCAAUAAAAGGAAGGAGUUUUGAUCUGAUCCAUUAUUGGUCGUAGUAUUGAGAGGUAAUAUCUGGUCCAAUGUCUGUGCAACUCAGGAACUUACUCAAACAGCAGUCAGUUCGUCACCUAGCCCUGUGCAAACAAUCUGAGGAAAGGGCUGCCUAAAGGCAGUCGGAUCCCAACAGAGAGAGUCUGUGAAGAUAUGGACUCCUGAGACCCAAAUCCCAGUCAAGUGCAGGAGAGAGAUGCCUACCAAUGAGU